rnacentral:rRNA from 1 species
UGGGGAAUAUUGGACAAUGGACCAAGAGUCUGAUCCAGCAAUUCUGUGUGCACGAUGAAGUUUUUCGGAAUGUAAAGUGCUUUCAGUUGGGAAGAAACAAAUGACGGUACCAACAGAAGAAGUGACGGCUAAAUACGUGCCAGCAGCCGCGGUAAUACGUAUGUCACAAGCGUUAUCCGGAUUUAUUGGGCGUAAAGCGCGUCUAGGUGGUUAUAUAAGUCUGAUGUGAAAAUGCAGGGCUCAACUCUGUAUUGCGUUGGAAACUGUAUAACUAGAGUACUGGAGAGGUAAGCGGAACUACAAGUGUAGAGGUGAAAUUCGUAGAUAUUUGUAGGAAUGCCGAUGGGGAAGCCAGCUUACUGGACAGAUACUGACGCUGAAGCGCGAAAGCGUGGGUAGCAAACAGG